rnacentral:lncRNA from 1 species
UUGAAAAAGUUCUCCAACUGGCCAACAUAUCCUCAACUCUACUGUAAGGGUGAGCUUCUCGGUGGCUGUGACAUUGUAACUGCUAUGCAUGAGAGUGGUGAACUUAAAGAAGUUUUGUUGGAUCAUGGAAUUGAAGCAUCUGAUUCCUCUAAAGCAGAAGCAACAGAACCUGGAAUGGGAAAGGGUGGCAUCUCUGAGGCCUCUGGUUUGAGUGCAGACCUGAACUCUCGUUUGGAUAGCUUAAUUAAUUCUAGUCCAGUUAUGCUUUUUAUGAAGGGGGAACCAGAUACACCGCGUUGUGGUUUUAGCCGGAAAGUUGUUGAUAUUCUGAGACAAGAGAAAAUAGAUUUUAAGAGCUUUGACAUCCUUACUGAUGAUGAAGUCCGUCAAGGCCUAAAAGUUUACUCAAACUGGUCCAGCUAUCCUCAGCUGUACAUAAAGGGUGAACUGAUUGGUGGAUCUGAUAUUGUGUUGGACAUGCAAAAGAGUGGAGAGCUCAGUAAGGUUCUUGCAGAGAAAGGUAUUCCUAAUGGGAUCACCCUGGAAGUGCGCCUUAAGCAGCUGAUAACUUCUUCUCCUGUGAUGCUUUUUAUGAAGGGUACUCCAGAUGCUUCACGUUGUGGUUUCAGCUCCAAGGUAGUAAACGCCUUGAAGGAGGAGGAAGUGGAGUUUGGAUCAUUUGAUAUUUUAACUGAUGAGGAGGUCAGGCAGGGAUUGAAGACCUUGUCAAACUGGCCAACCUUUCCACAGCUCUAUUACAAGGGUGAACUGAUAGGAGGUUGUGAUAUUAUACUGGAGCUAAAAAGCAAUGGCGAGUUGAAAUCUACCUUAUCUGAAUAGGUUUAGGAAAUGUAGGCUGAAGCGGUGCUACUCCCUACUACUGAUGGCUUAUUGAUCUAGAAGUCUUUAAAAAUGUUGUCCGCUGGAAAAUGGUUUCAGAACCCUUGUCUUAUAUUUCUCCCCUUUUUAGGGAACCUUCUUCAUGCUCUGGUUGCACAUUCCUAUAAU